UACAUGGGGUGCAAACGUUGCUCGGAAUUAUUGGGCGUAAAGGGUGCGUAGGCGGUUUGAUAAGUCUGAUGUGAAAUCUAUGGGCUCAACCCAUAGCCUGCAUUAGAAACUGUCGGGCUUGAGUAUGGGAGAGGUGAGUGGAAUUUCCGGUGUAGCGGUGAAAUGCGUAGAUAUCGGAAGGAACACCUGUGGCGAAAGCGGCUCACUGGACCAUUACUGACGCUGAUGCACGAAAGCUAGGGGAGCAAACAGG
rnacentral:rRNA from 1 species